rnacentral:rRNA from 1 species
UACAGAGGGUGCGAGCGUUAAUCGGAAUUACUGGGCGUAAAGCGCACGUAGGUGGCGACGUAAGUCGGGUGUGAAAGCCCCGGGCUCAACCUGGGAAUUGCAUUCGAGACUGCAUCGCUGGAGUACGGAAGAGGAGGGCGGAAUUCCCGGUGUAGCGGUGAAAUGUGUAGAUAUCGGGAGGAACAUCAGUGGCGAAGGCGGCCCUCUGGUCCAGUACUGACACUCAAGUGCGACAGCGUGGGGAGCAAACAGG